GAGGGGGUUUUCCCUUGCUCAGAUUGAACGCUGGCGGCAGGCUUAACACAUGCAAGUCGAGCGGUAACAGGGGAAGCUUGCUUCUCGCUGACGAGCGGCGGACGGGUGAGUAAUGCAUAGGAAUCUGCCCGGUAGUGGGGGAUAACCUGGGGAAACCCAGGCUAAUACCGCAUACGUCCUACGGGAGAAAGAGGGCUCCGGCUCUCGCUAUCGGAUGAGCCUAUGUCGGAUUAGCUGGUUGGUGAGGUAACGGCUCACCAAGGCGACGAUCCGUAGCUGGUCUGAGAGGAUGAUCAGCCACAUCGGGACUGAGACACGGCCCGAACUCCUACGGGAGGCAGCAGUGGGGAAUAUUGGACAAUGGGGGCAACCCUGAUCCAGCCAUGCCGCGUGUGUGAAGAAGGCCUUAGGGUUGUAAAGCACUUUCAGCGAGGAAGAACGCCUGGCGGUUAAUACCCGCCAGGAAAGACAUCACUCGCAGAAGAAGCACCGGCUAACUCCGUGCCAGCAGCCGCGGUAAUACGGAGGGUGCAAGCGUUAAUCGGAAUUACUGGGCGUAAAGCGCGCGUAGGUGGCUUGAUAAGCCGGUUGUGAAAGCCCCGGGCUCAACCUGGGAACGGCAUCCGGAACUGUCAGGCUAGAGUGCAGGAGAGGAAGGUAGAAUUCCCGGUGUAGCGGUGAAAUGCGUAGAGAUCGGGAGGAAUACCAGUGGCGAAGGCGGCCUUCUGGACUGACACUGACACUGAGGUGCGAAAGCGUGGGUAGCAAACAGGAUUAGAUACCCUGGUAGUCCACGCCGUAAACGAUGUCGACCAGCCGUUGGGUGCCUAGCGCACUUUGUGGCGAAGUUAACGCGAUAAGUCGACCGCCUGGAGACGCGCACG
rnacentral:rRNA from 1 species